UAGAGUUGAGGAGGCGCCAACGUGAAGACGACGAGUUCACAGGCGUCCCAUUGCGGCGCUCGAAGAAAAAUAAGGGCGGAACAUCACACCGACGUGCGGACGCAUACUGGCGAAAUCGAAUCAGGUACCUUAGAGAAGACGACGACACAGCGACUCGUUGUCUUUCCUCAAGACAGAACCCUAGUACGGCUCUCGACACAGGUGCGAAACUUGCUUCUCGCACUGCACCGGCCAGCUGACCCGAGUGUUGAUCUCCGAUACAGACGCUGGAUCUUUUGCCUGACAGAUGGCGAAGGGCGACAAGGAGGACGCGCCGGCGGACAAGCGCGUCGUGUGGAUUGAGCAGCGCAUAACCAAUGCUCUGAAACUGAAGCCUGCCGAGUCAAAGAAGCUUCUUGAGAGUGAAGAAAACCGAGCCCAAAUGAGUGAGUUCCUGGACACCGCCGAUGCGUGUCACCUCUAUGUAUACCAAGCAUCAACCGGUGCGUUUGUAACCCGCAUUGAAGCGCCAGAGGAGCUCAAAAAGAAGGGUUUGUUCUUCAGCAAGAUCAAGCGGGAGAAGAUAGCGGAUGAAAACCAUAUGAAGGAGACAAUCACAUUUGGCGACUUCUCGCCUGACGUCCUCAACAGCCUCAGCGCCGUGACGCGGAAUGUGUACGUGCAGAUCCUGAAGGGCGACAAGCGAAACACCGCGGCCGUCCCCGACGUGGCUGUUGGCGAGCUCAUGAGCGACACCAACCGGCUGCUCUCAAACUUGCUGGUCAUGCAAGGCUUGAGCGAAGGUAAGACGUUUUUGCCCAUGCCACCCAUUGAGUUUCCUCCCCGCAUCGACGACUUUGCCAUGGAUAAGGAGACGCUGUACCUGCUCGAGGGCACUGUCGUGUCGUGGACAGCGCAAAUCAAGGCCGCAAUCGCGUCGUCGCCGGAGGAGCUGGAGGAGGCCGCGCCACAGACGGGCCGAUACCCGUGCCCGCUGGAUGAGAUCCACUUCUGGAAGGAGAAGUCUGAGAAUCUGGCUGGCUUGGAGGAGCAGCUGUACUCGGUGAAGUCGCUCAAGAUUCUUGUGCUGCUGAAGCGUGCAGGUAGCAGCUACUACGCCGCCUUUUCGCAGCUGAUGGCCGAGUUGAAGGAUGCUGCGUACGAGUCUCGUGACAACUACCAGUACCUGAAGCCCCUCAUUCCCGAGUUUGAGCAGAUGUCUAUGUCAGCUGCCAGCCACGUCCCCUUCCUGGAGCUCUCCAAAAGCGGCGUCUUCAAGCGCCUCUUUCACUUUUUGUACCUGUUGUGGACGCAGUCCGGCUUCUACAACAACCCCGCUAGGCUUGUCUUCCUUAUCCGCGAGAUGGGCAACGCUCUGAUUGAGAUGGCAGCCGACCACGUCAACGUCGCCGAGCUCGCGGAGGGCCUGGAGAAGAAGGAGGUGAUUGAGCGGCUGAGCAGUGCGCUGGCGAUUGGCGGUGAGUUCAAGGCGCUGUACUUUCAGUACAAGUCACACGUGUCGUCCGUGGCGCGGCCGUGGAAGUUCCAGAACGCCGCGCUCUUCUCCAGGCUGGAUACCUUUCUGGAGCGGUGCCAUGACCUCCUUGACGUGAUCGAGACGGCGCUCCUCUUCGACAAGAUGGAGAACAUGAAAAUUGGCGGAACCAAAGGCCAGCACCUGACGUCCGAGGCGGAGGAGAUUAAGCAAAUCUUCGACGUGUCCCUUGCGCGUUUCUUCAGCGUCGACUACGACCUUCUAGACAUCACCAACACGCGCUUCGACGCCGACUACGACGAUCUCAAGUGUGUGAUCCGCGGGUUAGAGGAGCGCCUGAGUUCAAUCCUCGUCACCACAAUCGACGAAUCCAGCGCCAUCACCGAGGUGUUCAAGGCUGUGGACACGUUUGACGGCUUCACAGACAGGACGCCGAUGCAGCAGGAGUGGAUGAAGAAGCAAAGCGGCGUGCUCGAAGGCUUUCAUCAGGACCUGAUCAAGGUCCAGGAAACUUACUACGCGGGUGAGGCGGCUGGGGUGUACCCCAACUUGCCUCCUCUUGCGAGCACCAUUGUGCGGUGCAAGGCGUUGCUAGAUCGCAUCAACGAGAGCCACUCUCGCGUGGUCGACCUGUCCUCGACGGUACUGCAGGGCGAGCGCGGCGUUGAGGCACUCCAGCUGUACGGGAAGCUGAAGGAGCUGCUGCAGAGCACGAUCCACGAGAAGUUCGAGAGGUGGACCACCCAGGUGGGCGCUAUACGCUCGGACAAGCUGCGGCUGCCGGUGCUUUCAGUGGAUGCCAAUAAACGCCUUUCGGUCAACUUCGACGCCUCGCUUGUGAAGACGCUGCGCGAGGUGUACUAUGUGGAGGUACUCAACUCAUACGAAUCCGCGGGCGUUGGCCAGUUCGAGAUUCCGCGCGAUGCAGCGGCGAUCUUCAUGAAGCGUGACGUAUACCGUGACCAGGCACUGAAGCUGGAGUACCUGUGCACAACGUACAACAACUUGAGCUCGAGCCUCCGCCCGCACGACGAGCGCCCACUCAUCGAGGAUGAGUUGCAGAAGUUUGAGUCCUUCCUGUCGUGUGGCCUCAAGGACGUGCGGUGGGAGGACGAGGACGCCACAAAUGCGUUUAUCGAGGAGGCACUGAAGCAAGUCACGGCCAUCGACACAGCCGUGUCGACGCUGCAUUGCAAUGUUCAGCAGAUGAAGGACUCUAUGAACAAGUACAAGACGGAUGACACACUUUUUCCUUUGGAUGCCGCGACGGGGGCAAAGACAAUGUCGGUGGUGGAGCUGCGCAAGACGCUUGGCGACUACGUUGAGUCGCGCGCAGCGGGGCUGCGGGAUAGAAACGACGAGAUCAAGUUGCUGAUGCAAAACAGCCUGCAGGCGCUGCAGACGUUGAAGGAGGCAAAUGGCGGUGCUGUCGUGAGUAGCACGGACGCCGUGUGGCAGGAUUACCUUGCUUACGUCAGCUCCGUUGCACGGGAAUGCCUAGCUGAGGUGGCGGUGACGUCACUCACAAACAUGCGCAACCAGCUGGACCCGGUGUGGCUGGCGGACCACGACGGUAUCCCUCUUGUCGAUGUGAAGCUCUCUCUGUCGAAGGUAACGGCAGAUAACCCGACGUCAAAGUCCCGUUUUGAUCCUGCGCUCAUGACAAGCGACAGCGAGGAGACAUCGGUAUGGCAGAUUCUCAGUGACACAAUCGAUGGCAUAAUCGACUCUUACAGCCUCAUCGACCCCAUUCACGGCUCGACGUCGUACACGGAAGAGAUGCGGCAGGACGAGCACGCCCAUGCCCUCGUGGAGGAGAUUCAGACACUAUUCCAGCAGAACGUGGUGGCGUGCGAAGAGUACCGCCACGCUUACGAUGAGUUCAAGUCGCUGUGGGAAACGGAUCGCAAGAAGGUGUUCGCGAAGUUCAUUGAGACGGACCGUCACCGCAACGGGCAUCGGCCGAGCGUCUCGAUGGAGGACGCCACAGUGGCCAUGGCGCAGGGGCAGAAACCAGCAGAGUACUUUGGUGUAAGCCUGCAAGAAUUCGAUCGCGCGAUUACCGAGUACACGCGCAUCCGAAGCCGACUUACCGCGAUUGAGGACCGCCACACCGAGGGCUCAGUGCUGAUCGACGUCAAGCCGUUGCGCGUGGCGCUGCGCGACCUGAGCCGGCGAUGGAAGGAGAUGUAUUCCGACUAUCUACUAGACAAGAUCAAGGCUGAUCUGAGUCAACUCUACGAGUUCAUCAAGGAGGCCGACAAGGGGCUCGAGGUGGAGGUGCUGGACGGCGACGUGGAUGCGCUCAAGUCCGUUAUGCGGUGGAUCCGCGACUGUCGCAAGCGCAACACGGAGGUGAUGGGCGAUGACGAGACCGGCGAGACAGGUGGAAUGUUCCCGCCCAUCAAGGCGGCUAUUGGCAUGCUGAAGACGCAUGCCAGCACUUCGCCGGAUGCCGAGGCGGAGCUGGCGAAGAUUGAGAAGCUCGAGGAGUUGCGGAAGCCUGCGCCUGAGCAGUGGGUCGCGCUGAACAAAAAGGCGCUGAACGCGCGCGCGCAGAACUCCAUCGUGCAGGACCGUGAGGCAGAAAAGAUCAAGGAGAAUGUCGCGGCGUUCGAACAGGAGCUGAACUACGAGGUAGACGCCUUCCACCAGAACCCGCUGUUUACCUACGCCAUUCAACCUAGUGAGGUCUAUAACGCUAUCGACAGCGUGUACGCACACUUCAUGGUUGUCGAGAAUAAGGCGAAGGGGCUGCAGAACCUGCAGGACCUCUUUGAUCUUGCCGUGUCACAUUUCAAGGGCAUCCGCGAAUGCCGGCAGGAGCUGGCGCUGCUGAAGCAGAUUUGGGAUCUUAAUUUUCACGUUACCUCUCAGUUCCGCGACUGGAUGCGGUCGACGUUCAAGGACGCUGACGUGAGCUACUUCGAGGAUGAGGCCAAGAAGAUUUCAAAGCAACUGCAGCUGCAGCCGAUGAAGGUGAAGGGGUGGGGCGUCUUCAAGGGUGUCGACGAGACUGUGCGCAACAUGCGCACGUCGCUGCCGCUGUGCGACUCGCUGAGCUCGCCGUCUAUGCGGCCGCGCCACUGGGAGGAGCUGGUGCGCACGACGAAUCAGCCUGGCACCAUCGACCCCGCUGCUGCAGAUUUCACGCUUGAGAAACUCUUCGCCCUCGGUCUUCACAAGUACUCAGAAGACGUGGCCAGCAUCGUUGAAAAGGCUGAGAAGGAGCUGCGCAUCGAGACGAACCUGUCGAAGAUCAUUGUGGCCUGGGAAAAGCUGCAGUUCACGUAUGAGAUGGACGCCCACCUGGAUUGCUACCUCCUCGGCUCCGUCGACGACGUUGUGGAGCAACUGGAGAACGACAGCAACGCCCUUUCCUCCAUGUUGUCUGAUCGCUUUGUGGAGUACUUCUACGAGAAGGUGCUGAGCUGGCAGAAGGACCUCGGGCUGGUGGACACGUGCACGACAAAGUGGAUGGACAUCCAGCGUCAGUGGCAGAACCUGUUCCCCAUCUUCGUCCUCUCUGAGGACAUCAAAGAGCAGCUGCCAAAUGAGGCGAAGCAGUUUAGCGAGGCGGACCGCGUGUUCCGUCUUCUCAUGAGCAAGGCGCACCCGUACACGAACCCGGUGGAGACGAUUUGCUCCGGCAAGCUGUCGGAGGAUAUCGGGCGUGGCGAAACGCUAGAGGAGACGCUCAACUACAUCCAAGGCAUCCUGAACCGCUGCGAGAAGGCUCUGGCUGAUUACCUGGAGACGAAGCGGAAGCUGUUCCCGCGCUUCUUCUUUGUCUCGGACACGGACCUCAUCGACAUUCUUUCCAAGGGCUCCGACCCGCGUGCGGUCAUUGUGCACAUGAGCAAGAUCAUCGAAUCCGUUGACUCCUUCACCUUUGACAAUAACCCGUACCCCCACGCUGGCGCGGAAGAAGUGUGGGAGAUGGUGUCAAUCCAAGGAGAGAGGGUGACACUGACGGAGAGCUUUGCAUGCGACGGCGCGGUUGAAAGCUGGCUGGAGGGGCUUGUGCAGUGUAUGAAGCGCAGCAUGAAGGUGCACAUCAGGGAGGCGAACGCGGGCUAUCUCGAGAAGCCGCGAAACGAGUGGAUCUAUCAGUACCCGUGCCAGGCGGUCAUCGUAGCGUCACGUAUCUGGUUCACGACCGAGGUGCAUCAAGCCUUCACGCAGAUCGAGGAGGGCAACGAUAUGGGCAUGAAGGACUUGUUGAAGAGCCAAAAGUCGCAGCUGGACAGCCUCAUCAAGGAGGUGCUGCUAGAUCGCUCGUCGACGGAGCGCAAGAUGCUAGUGCACCUCAUUACUAUCGACGUGCACAACCGGGACAUCGUACAGAGCAUGGUGGACGACCGCAUCGACUCCGUCGAUGCCUUCAGUUGGCAGUCGCAGCUUCGCUACUACUGGGACGAGAACAAGGGCAGCGAAAUCCGGAUCGCCGACGCCGACUUCACCAACGGGUACGAGUACAUCGGCCUGUGCGGCUGUCUUGUCAUCACAAAGCUGACGGACCGCUGCUACAUCACCCUCACGCAGGCGCUGCGGCUGAAACAGGGCGGCGCCCCAGCUGGGCCGGCUGGUACGGGCAAGACAGAGACCACCAAGGAUCUGGCGCGCAACAUGGGCAUUGCGUGCUACGUGUUCAACUGCUCCGAUCAGAUGAAUUACAUUACUCUCGGCCAGAUCUUCAAGGGUCUCGCUAUGUCCGGCUCGUGGGGCUGUUUCGAUGAGUUCAACCGCAUCUCUAUUGAGGUGCUCUCUGUCGUCGCGACCCAGGUGGGCUCGAUCUUGAACGCGCUCAAGGAGAACAAGUCGCGCUUCCGCUUCGUGGGUGAGGAGAUCUCGCUCAAGCGCUCCGUGGGCAUGUGGAUUACCAUGAACCCGGGUUACGCCGGUCGUACGGAGUUGCCGGAGAACAUCAAGUCGCUCUUCCGUCCGUGCGCCAUGUGCGUGCCGGACCUUAAGAACAUUUGCGAGAUCAUGCUGGCCGCGGAGGGUUUCGGCGACGCCAAGGAUCUUGCGCUGAAGUUCGUCACACUGUAUCGUCUGAACAAGGAGCUGCUGUCACCGCAGGACCACUACGACUGGGGUUUGCGUGCCGUCAAGUCUGUCUUGUACAUCGCUGGCGCCCUUAAGCGCGGUGAUCCUGAUCUUCCGGAGCGCAACGUUUUGAUGCGCGCCCUCCGCGACACGAACAUGGCGAAGCUCAGCAAGGACGACGUGUACGUGUUCAUGGGUCUGAUCCGCUCGCUUUUCCCGAACCUCGAUGUGCCGAAGAAGAACAAGCCGGAACUGGUCGCUGCAUGCAAGGCGAUGUGCAAGGAGCAGGGCAACUUUCCGGGCGAGAAUGACAUCUUCAUCCUGAAGUGCGUGCAGUACGAGGAACUGCUGCAUGUACGCCACUCGGUGUUUAUCCUCGGUGCGGCCGGUGCGGGCAAGACUGAGUGCUGGCGGUGCUUGCAGGGCGCGCUGACGAAGCUACACCAGGACGAGUGGAAGGCCAAAGCGGUCUCGUCGUGCCUCAACCCAAAGGCGAUCUCCUCCAAUGAGCUGUACGGCUACUUCACCCCGCAGAAGGAGUGGCGCGACGGCAUUUUGUCGACGAUCUUCCGCGACUAUGCCGUGGAGUCGAAGAAAAAGAAGAACAUGAAGUGGAUCGUGUUGGACGGCAUCAUCGACGCAGAGUGGAUUGAGUCGAUGAACACCGUGAUGGACGACAACAAGAUGCUGACGCUCGUGUCGAAUGAACGCAUUCCGCUGACGGACUCGAUGCGAAUGAUCUUCGAGGUGUCGCAUCUGCGCAACGCCUCGCCGGCGACAGUGUCGCGGGCCGGUGUCAUCUUCAUCAACGAAUCGGAUCUGGGCUGGGGCCCGUUCAAGGACAAGUGGAUCGCGUCGCGUGAGAAGCGCGAAGGUGUGAUCCUCGAUAACCUCUUCGACAAGUAUGUGCCGUUCAUCUUUGAGUUCUGGAAGCGCAGCAUGCGGCCAAUCGUGUCUGUGAUGGACAUCAACGUGGUACAAACCCUUUGCUUCCUCCUCGACGGUAUCUUCAAGACGAUUGAACCGGAGGAGCUAGCGAAGAACUCUAACCCUUUCGAGGUGUACGAAAAGUACUUUGUCUUCGCCGCCAUCUGGGCCUUUGGCGGCCCGCUGCCGAGCUCCGACGGCCGCAUUGACAUGCGGCUCAACUUCUCAAACCAGUGGAAGAAGGAGUUCCCGAGCAUGAAAAUCUCCGACGCCGGAUCGGUGUUCGACUACUACAUAGACAAGACCAAGGACGACAGCGGCGCUGUGCUGUUCGACUGGAAGCCAUGGACGGAGCUCGUUCAGCCCUACACGAUGGACGCGGAUAUACAGCUGUCGUCUGUGUCCGUGCAAACCGCUGACACGGUGCGCAUGUCGUAUCUCAUGAGCCUUUUUGUCGACAACGCGAAGGGCGUCAUGCUGGUGGGUACCGCUGGCACUGGUAAGACAAACCUCAUCAUGUCGAAGCUGCGUUCGCUGGACAACGAGAAGGUGGUGUUCCGUGUCGUCUCGUUUAACGCCCGCACCUCAUCCUCUGGUUUGCAGGGGGUGAUGGAGCAGUCGCUGGAGAAGCGCUCUGGCCGCACCUACGGCCCGCCGAAUCGCAAGAAGCUCGUGUUCUUCCUUGAUGACAUGAACAUGCCAACGCCAGACAAGUACGGCACGCAGGAGGCCGUGGCGCUGCUGCAGCAGCACGUCGGCUACGGCUUCUGGUACGAUCGCGUCAAGAUUGUGCAGAAGGAGGUGGUAGACGUGCGGUAUGUUGCUGCGAUGAACCCCAAAUCCGGCACCUUUACCAUCCUCGACCGUCUGCUGCGCCACUUCGCCGUUUUCUCGACGAAUAUGCCGGAUCGCGCAGACCUGGUGAGCAUCUACGGACAGAUUUUGCAGGCGCACACGAAGCCAUUCUCCCGGGACAUCCGCGACACUCUCACGACGCUGCUCACAAACGCCACGAUCGAGCUUCACUCGAAUGUGGCGAAGCUGUUCUUCCCGACGGCAAUCAAGUUCCACUACCAAUGGAACAUGCGUGAGAUGUUCAACAUUUUCCAGGGCCUGUGCAAGUCCAACCCGAAGCUGCACAAGAGCAGCCUGCAGCUGGUCCGUCUUUGGGUGCACGAGUGCAACCGCACGUUCCGCGACCGCAUGGCCGAUGACGCCGACAUGAAGCGCUACGACGCCCUGCUUCAGGAAGUCAUUAUGCGAGCCGGAUUCACCGACGUGAAGGCAAAGGAUGUGAUGGAGGAGCCGCUGCUGUGGGCGCCGUUCCAUACGACGCCAGACGGGCAGGAGAACGUGUACGAUGAAACAAACUACGACGAGGCCGGCGCCUACCUGCGCAAGAAGCUGGCGGACUACAACGAGAACUACGCCUCCAUGAACCUUGUGUUGUUCAACCAAGCCAUCGAGCAUGUCUGCCGCAUUGCCCGUAUCACUUCGAACCCGCGCGGAAAUGCAUUCUUGGUCGGCGUUGGCGGCUCUGGUAAGCAGUCCUUGGCACGACUUGCGUCGUACAUCAACGGACACGACAUCUUCCAGAUUCUCGUGACGAGCACGUACGACAUCAAUGACUUCCGCAACGACAUGCAGGAGCUGUACCGAAAAUGCGGUGUACGCGGGUACCCGUUCGCGUUCAUCAUCACAGAUACACAGAUUGUGUCGGUGGACAUGCUGGUGUACCUGAACGACAUGCUGAGCAGUGGUAACGUGCCGGAGCUGUUCAACCAGGAUGAGCGCGAUGGUAUCAUCGCCUCCGUCGUAAACGAGGUGAAGGCUUCCGGCGUCGCCGACUACUCGAAUCCGGAUGUGUGCUGGGAACACUUCAUCCACAAGGUUCGCUCGAACCUGCACAUUAUUCUCUGCUUCUCGCCCGUGAGCAAGAACUUUGCUGCGUGGUGCCGACAGUUCCCGGCGCUGGCCAACACCACCGUGAUUGACUGGUUCCUGAGCUGGCCGGAGCAGGCGCUUCGGUCGGUGGCGCAGCGCUUCCUUUCCGAGAUUGAUCUGGGAGGCGAGGAGAUGACGCAGAACAUUGCGGACUUCAUGGCGUACUGCCAGAUAAAGGUGACGGAGACGUGCGAGGAGUACUACGCGCAGGAAAAGCGGCACGCCUACACGACACCCAAGUCGUUCCUCGAACUGAUCGCCUUCUACAAGGACUUGCUAGCCCGGAAGCGGAAGGAGAAUAGUGAUCAAACGGAUCGCCUCGUGAGCGGUAUCGAUAAGAUCAAGGAGGCAGGGGCGCAAGUGCAGGGGCUGCAGGAGGUGCUUCAGCGGGAGAGCGUGGAGGUGGAGGAGGCGCGACAGAAGACGGCAGCACUUCUCGAGACGGUGGGCCGUGAGAAGUCCGUCGUGGAGGAGCAGAGCGCGAUUGCGGCGAAGGAGGAGUCGAAGACGAACAAGAUCGUAGAGGAGGUGACGUCGUUCGAGAAGCAGUGCCAGGAGGAUUUGGCCAAGGCGCAACCGCUCGUCCAGGAGGCGCUGGCGGCCCUCGAUACUCUUGACAAGGCCUCGAUUGCGGAGCUCAAGAAUCUCGGCAAGCCCCCGGAAGAUGUGCAGAUGGUGGCCAUCUGCGUGCUGGUGCUCACGUCGAACCCGCGCUCGAUUCCGUCGAUGAAGCAGCGGUCGUGGAAUGAGUGCAAGAAGAUGAUGAACCAGGUGGAUCGCUUCUUGACGGAGCUGCGCAACUUCGACGUGAACAACAUUCCCCAGGUGUGCAUCGACCAGAUUCAGGUGUACAUCAACAACCCCUCCUUCGACCCGGACAUCAUCAGGAACAAGUCCUUCGCGGCGGCCGGCCUAUGCAAGUGGGCCAUCGGCAUGAACCGCUACCACACCGUCCGCUGCGAGGUGCGUCCGAAGGAGGAGCGACUCGCGGAGGCGCAGCAGCGUCUUGUCUCGAGCCGCGCAGCGCUGAAGAAAAUUCAAGACAAGGUGGCGGACCUGCAGGCCAAGCUUGGCGCUCUGGUCAGCCAGUACGAUGAGGCCGUGGCCGAGGCCGACGCGAUCGAGGCCAAGGCGAAGAAAACGCAGAUGAAGAUGAACCUGGCGCAGCGCCUUGUGAGCGGAUUGGCGGACGAGAGUGUGCGCUGGGGUGCCACCAUCGAAAAGCUAAAGGAGGCCGCAAAGCUGCUGGUCGGCGACGUGCUGCUGAGCGCGUCUUUCGUGUCUUAUAUUGGGCCCUUCUCGAAGGCGUUCCGCGAGCAGAUAGUGGAGCAGGACUGGCUGCCGGAAAUCAAGAAGCUGGGCAUUCCAAUGACGGAGGGUCUUGACGUGACGAUGGACGUGCUCACUUCGGAGGCGGCGGUGGCGUCGUGGAACAACGAGGGACUCCCCUCUGAUCGUGUCUCAACCGAGAACGGUGCCAUUCUCAACAACUGCAUGCGCUGGCCGCUCAUGAUCGACCCGCAGCUGCAAGGCAUCAAGUGGAUUCGCACCCGUGAGGAGAAGAACGGCCUGCGUGUUGUGCAGACCACACAGAAGGGCUGGCAGCGCACUCUGCAGACGUGCAUCGAGGAGGGCCUUCCGUGCCUUAUCGAGGGCCUCAGCGAGUUUGUGGAGCCCGUUCUCGACGGCGUUCUGAGUCGACAGACGUUUCGCAAGGGCGGCCGCGAGUUCAUCAAGCUCGGCGCUACCGAAGUGGAGUACAACCCGAAGUUCCGGUUGAUUCUGCAGACAAAGCUCGGCAACCCUCACUACGGCCCUGAAGUGAACGCGCAGACGACCCUGAUCAACUUCAUGGUGACAGAGACGGGUCUGGAGGAUCAGCUGCUGGCGGUCGUGGUGAGCCAAGAGCGACCAGACUUGGAGAAUAAACGCGGCAUGCUGAUUCGACAGAUGAACACCAUGACAAUUGAGCUGCAGCAGUGCGAGAACGGACUGCUCUACGAGCUGACAAACGCAACCGGCGACAUCCUGGAGAACGUCACCCUGGUCGAAAACUUGGAGGCGACCAAGAAGAAGGCGAAGGACAUCAACGCCUCCUUCGCGCAGGCCGUCGUCACACAGAAGGAUAUCGCGCAGAACCGUCUGCGGUACACCGACGUAGCGGUGCGCGGCUCUCUCCUGUUCUUCCAGAUUGACCAACUGUGGAAGAUCGACCACAUGUACCAGUACUCGCUGGAGGCGUUCAUGGUGGUGUUCAACAAGGCUCUCGCCUGCGCACCGCAGCCGGAGAACAAGAAGGAUGUAAAAAAGCGCGUGGCGAACGUCACCCAGUCGAUCACGGAGAAUGUCUUUGCCUACGUGUCGCGCGGCCUGUUUGAGCGCCACAAGCUGAUCUUCUCGAGCCUCCUCACCUUCACCAUUCUGAGCCGUCGCAACGAGAUCAAUCUGAAACAGCUGGACUUCCUCCUCCGCGGUAAGAAGAAGACGGGCGUGGUGCGGCCAGAGACGGUAACGGCGUGGUGCACGCAACCGAACUGGGAUGCGGUGCAGGCGCUGGCGGAAGUGGAGGGUGCAACGCCCUCGUUCAGCCUGCUGCCGAGCGACAUGGCAGAGAACAAUCGAUGGUUUCAGUACUGCGAGCUUGAGAAGCCGGAGGUGGAGAAGAUGCCAGGAGAGUGGAAGAACCUCUCUAACUUCGAGCGCCUGCUGGUGCUGCGUUGCCUGCGUCCAGACCGUCUCACAGCAGCGCUGGAGAUGUUUGUGGGCACCACCAUCGGCCGCUUUUUUGUGUCCGAUCAGGCAGUGGACAUCUCUGUCUCGUACCAGAACUCGAGCACAACGACGCCGCUCUUCUUCAUCUUAUCCCCUGGUGUCGACCCGGUCAAGGCAGUCGAGGAGCUGGGCCGCAAACUGGGUUACACCUACGACAGGGAGAAUUUCUACAACGUAUCACUGGGGCAAGGUCAAGAGGUGGUGGCGGACCGCGCGCUGGACAAGUGCUUUGCCGAGGGCGGGUGGGCGCUACUAUCGAAUAUCCAUCUGGUGGAAAAGUGGCUGCGCACGCUGGAGCGGCGCCUCGACACGUACGCGGAGACGUACACGCGCGUCGCGCAGCUUCGCAAGGAGAUUGCGGAGCGGAAGGCCGGCGAACGCAGCGCCGCUGCAGGAGGCGUCGGCGACGGCGAUAAGGAGCAGCACGACGAUGAGGCGGCAGAGGACAAGUCGGCGCCCUCGCAUUGCGAGAGCGGGGAGGGGGAGACGGACGAGGAUAUCGGCGACGGCGAGGACGGUGCUGAGACGGGCAGUGGCAACGCGGCGGGGGAUAAGAAGAACGACAUGAUUGUGGUGACGGAUGACGAGAUCGAGUUCGAUGGCGUUAAGGGGCACCCGGAUUUCCGCGUGUUCCUGAGCGCGGAGCCAUCAAAUGUGAUCCCUAUUGGUAUCCUGCAGCGCUCGGUGAAGCUGACGUCGGAGCCGCCGACUGGUAUUCGGCAGAAUAUUGUGCGUGCCAUGAGCAACUUCAGCGACGAGCCGUGGGAGAAGAGCGCGAAGCCGACCGAGUACCGCUGCAUCAUGUUCUCCAUGUGUUUCUUCCACGCCGUCGUCGUGGAGCGCAAGAAGUUCGGCCCGCUGGGCUGGAACCGCGCGUACCCGUUCAACGCCGGCGACCUCACGACGUGCAUGGAGGUUGCGGCCAACUACAUUGAGGACCGCCCCAAGGUGCCGUGGGAGGAUCUGCGCUACGUCUUUGGCGAGAUCAUGUACGGUGGCCACAUCACAGACGACUGGGAUCGCGUCCUGUGCAUGGCGUACCUGCAGAGCUACCUCAUCCCAGACUGCUGCGACGGCCUGCAGCUGGCACCAGGCGUUGCAGUGCCGGCGCCGGCAAGUUACCAGGAGUACAUGCAGUGGCUGACGGCUAGCGACGAUUUCCCGGCUGAGUCGCCGCUGCUGUAUGGCCUGCACCCCAACGCGGAGAUAAACUACCGCACGAUGCAGGCCGACGUCCUCUUCAAGACCAUCAACGAGCUGCAGCCCAAGAAGCACAGCGGCGGCGACAUGCUGAGCCCGCAGGAUAUUGUGCAGCAGAAGAUCGACGAGAUUCGCGAGCGCUUGCCGGAACCGCACAACCUGCAGGACUUGUCAGAGCGCCUCGAGGACGACCGCUCGCCUCAGCAGCACGUUUUCUACCAGGAGAGCGAGCGCAUGAAUAUCCUUAUUGAGACCCUGCGUGCGUCGCUGGAGGAGCUGAACCUUGGCCUGAAGGGUGCGCUGUCGAUGAGCACCGCGAUGCAGGAGCUGUUUGAUCAGAUUUACCUGGACAAGAUGCCGGAGCGAUGGGCGCGCGUCUCCUUCAUGUCGCAGCGCAUGCUCGGCUCGUGGGUGGAGAACUUCAUGGCGCGCAAUGAGCAGCUAGUGAGCUGGAACGCCGACCUGCAGACGCCAAAGGUUACAAAUAUUUCGCUCUUCUUCAACCCCAUGUCAUUCUUGACCGCCAUCAUGCAGACCACCUCCAUUAUCAACAGCUUUGAUCUCGAUCAGAUGGCACUGGUUGUGGAUGUGCUGAAGAAGUCUGCCGACCAGAUCGAGUCCAACGCGCGCGACGGUUGCUACGUGACCGGGCUUGCAAUGGAGGGGGCUCGGUGGGAUGGCACGGCUGGCUGCAUCGAGGAAAGCCGUCUAAAGGACCUGUAUCCCAAGAUGCCUAUCAUGCAAGUCCGCUCCCUGCCACUGAGCAAGAUUGAUCGGCGUGACCAGUACGAAUGCCCCGUGUACAAGACACAGGCUCGUGGCCCCGGCUUUGUUGUCGGUUUCUAUCUCAAGAGCAAGCAGCCGUCGCGUAAGUGGGUGAUUGCGGGGGUGGGCCUGUUGCUAGACGUGGUGGAGUAGCCAGACUCGGGCACACGCGGCGUGCCGGACAGGCGCAUGAGGAAACAUAGACAAUGCAGCGCCGAAGCUCGCUGCAACGAGAAGCGUCAGUAUGUUUUUUUUUCUUUCGUGACGCAGCAACCCAGCGGUCCCCGUGCACCUCUCAUUGACAGGAUGGGGGGGCGAUGGGACGGUCGGCGUUUGUGGAUGUACGGAGAGUAUCCAUGUUUAGUAGUGCUCUUUUUUCGGAUUUGUGUGUGUGUUUUCCUCUCUUUCCGUACGUGUGUGUUUCUUGGUGUGUCUGCCUCUGUCACAUUUCCCUUUUCGGUUUGUUUGCCGGUGAUGUAAGCUGUGCAGCAUGCGACACAUAAUCACGCCCACUACGCAGUGUGUAUGUCUAUUCUUCGUGAUCCCUGUGAAUCUCACGACACC
rnacentral:misc_RNA from 1 species